UCCUUGGAGGACUAGUGGUUAGGCCUCGGUGCUCUCGGCGCCGCGACCGAGGUUCGAUUCCCAGUCAGGGAA